rnacentral:lncRNA from 10 species
CAGAUAUGUGGAAAGUAUUAGAAGAAAAAGGAGAUGGCUGCUUUAAGACAUCUCCAGACCAGGCAUAGUGGCUCACACCUGUAAUCCCAGCACUUUGGGAGGCAGAGGCAGACCGAUCACCUGAAGUCAGGAGUUUGAGACCAGCCUGGACAACAUGGUGAAACCGUGUCUCUACUAAAAAUACAAAAAAGUUAGCCAGGUGUGGUGGCGGGUGCCUGUAAUCCCAGCUACUCAGGAGGCUGAGGCAUGAGAAUCGCUUGAACCUGGGAGGUGGACUUGAGUGAGCUGAGAUCGUGCCGCUGCACUCCAGCCUGGGUGACAGAGCAAGACUCUGUCUCAAACAAAAACAAAAACAAAAACACAUCUCCAGUAUUACAUGUUUGCUAACUACAGAUUACUUCAGGUUCUUGCUCACCAUGGACCUCUGAAAUACUCUUACGAACUACUGAAGAACCUUUUCGAAGGAGAAAUACUGUCAUAUGGGGAUAAGCAAGAGUGGGAAAAUCAGCAUGCUCACUUUGGUUGUGGUGAGCUGAUCUGGGAUUGCCUUCUGAGGCUUAUUGAAAAGGGAACGAAAAAUGACAUAUUACCGUCUAUUCCCAACUUCAUCAUUUAUCUGCUUAAUUCUAACUAUGUUUUUCUUU